GGGCGCAUGGUGUAGUUGGUUUAUCACGCUCGCUUAGCAUCGUGCUGACGUAAACAUGCGAGAGGUGUUGGGUUCAAUUCCCAAUGCGUCCA